AUUCACUUCAUGUGGAAAGCUUUGCGAAGUUCGUCUCGCUGGCUGUUAUUUUCGACAUUUUUUCCUAAAUUUGAUCCCCUAAUAUGGUCCUGAUGAAAAUUUCAGCUCGCAGUAUAGCAAGAUGAGAAAUUCGAGCUAUUAAAACCCGGUCUCCUUGAAAAAGAUUAUUGUCGAAAUUUUCAAUCCAUGGAAAUUUCGAUUUUAACCUAGAGGAGGGAUCUCCGGGGACAAAUGGCUUGAAGAUUAUCAGCUUGCUGGGGUCGUCUUAUCGAAUUUAUUGGUAUUCUCCUCAUGUGUGGUGCCAUCGUAUGGUAGUUCUUUUUGGAGAAAAUUUGACGAAGUCAAUUUUGGCUAUUUGCUACAGUUUUUUCGGAAUAUGCUCCUUGUAUUGAUGAUUUAUACUUGGAGAAGAAGCUCCAGGUACAGCAAUAUAGAGAAAUUCAAGCCACUAAAUCCGGUCUCCUUGUAAAAGGUUAUUUUCCAAAUUUUCAUUUUAUGGAAAUUUUGAUUUUAACUCAGAGGAGGGAUCUCUGGAAACAAAUGGCUUGAAGAUUAUCAUCUUGCUGGGAUCGUCUUUGUUGGAGGAAAUUCGUGGAAAAUCUGUAUGGUGCCACUCUUUCUGGAGAAAACUGGACGAACUCAAUGUCCUUGUGUUAUUAUUUGCGAAAUUUUUACCUGAAUAUGCUCCUCGUAUGGAUGACUUAUACUUGGCAAAAAGGCUCUAGGUACAGCAAGUAGAGAAAUUCGAGUUAUUAAAAUCCGGUCUCCUUAAAAAAAGGUUAUUGUCGGAAUUUUCAAUCCAUGGAAAUUUCGAUUCUAACCCUGAGGAGGGAUCUCUGGAGACGAAUGACUUGAAGAUUAUCAUCUUGCUGGGGUCGUCUUUGUUGGAGGGAAUUCAUGGAAGUUUAAAAUUGUGUGUGUCAAGUGCGAAAUUCAGAAGAACACGAAUGAUGAAGGAUUAAGAAUUUGUUGAAGAGGAAAAACGAAAUUUUUUUCAAUUUAUGGAUACGUUAUACCUGUGUCAAGAGGAUGAUUUAAAAGAAGAGGAAGGAUGAAAGAUUAAGAAUUUUGAAGAGGAAAAACGGCUGACUGUGUGAUGUCUUUACUACUUGACUAUAAAGGAGGAUGGGAGGAUCUAUGAGCAAUGCGGCGUAUAGCUCUUCAACAUUUUCGACGCGGGAAUGAUUGGUGAGUCUUUUUUAAAAUUAAACAAUAUAGU